CUCAACUCAUCUUCAAAAUUUUACACCCCAAAACUUAUUUUCCAUCCCUUAUCAAUAACCCUAACCGUACCCCUCCUUACCAUUCAACAUCUUCUCUCUAGUAGCAGUUUCAUCAGCAACUCUAUGUGACGAAAAGUACUCUUAUAUAUGUACGAGGGUUGAGAAAUUGAGGUCUGGUCUCAGCGUUCGUAAGGUUUUUAUAGGGGAUUAGAUGCCUCUUUACCGUAUUGCUGGAGAGGUCAACGCUGAUAGCGGCGAUGAUGGAGGAGCAGUUGAUUUGGUAUCGAUUGUCGCUGAACAAAGGGAAUUUGAUUAUUUUGUGUUGGCUGUCAAGGGCGGAACUAAUGAUUUUCUACAGAUCUUAGAAGAAACAAUAAAUGGUGGAUCAUCCACACCAACAAUGGCUGGUGCUGUCAAGAAAUAGAAAAUAUUGACUCCGGGAAGUCAAAGGUGACAUUCAACAGGUAGUUCGAGGCAAAUUGCGGCAGUCACAUUUUAUUUUGUUAAGCAAACUAGCUGUAGAAAACUAAAAUUCAUACAAAUCAGUCAUAGACAACUGUAGCAUAUGCAAGUCAGAAAAGGCUAUUUAUUUCAUUCCAUCUAUUUAUCAAGGUAUGAUGGAAUCUCGUUAAACGAGUAUCUUUACGGAUUUUCUCUUUUUAACUGCAAUACCUACAUAGUUUGUAGGAUCGCGUUCUGACCCGAAUGAGUCG